rnacentral:rRNA from 1 species
ACGAACGCUGGCGGCGUGCUUAACACAUGCAAGUCGCACGGAAAGGCCCUGCUUUUGUGGGGUGCUCGAGUGGCGAACGGGUGAGUAACACGUGAGUAACCUGCCCUUGACUUUGGGAUAACUUCAGGAAACUGGGGCUAAUACCGGAUAGGAGCUCCUGCUGCAUGGUGGGGGUUGGAAAGUUUCGGCGGUUGGGGAUGGACUCGCGGCUUGUCAGCUUGUUGGUGGGGUAGUGGCUUACCAAGGCUUUGACGGGUAGCCGGCCUGAGAGGGUGACCGGCCACAUUGGGACUGAGAUACGGCCCAGACUCCUACGGGAGGCAGCAGUGGGGAAUAUUGCACAAUGGGCGGAAGCCUGAUGCAGCAACGCCGCGUGCGGGAUGACGGCCUUCGGGUUGUAAACCGCUUUCGCCUGUGACGAAGCGUGAGUGACGGUAAUGGGUAAAGAAGCACCGGCUAACUACGUG